CUUGCGCCGUCCACCUCGUCCUCUUCCUCCCGCUCGCCUCUCUCUCUCUCCCUCCAAACCCUAGCCUCGCUCCCGCCUUCCUGCCCUGCUGCCGUCCAAAUCCAACCCACGCCGCCGCAAUCUCCUUCGCCUAGCAGGCCGCCGCCGCCCCGCCGUCUCCUCAACCCAGCCGACCCCCCCCCCCCCCGGCGCGGCCAUCGUCGACGGUGAGGAGGAGGAGCACGGUGGGAAGGAGGAGGACAGCCAGGGGAGGAAGGACAGCAUCAACGUCUCGUCUCCGUCUAGAUCCUCCUGUACCCAACACGAGAUGGAGAGAGGGAUGUUUGGAAGGAGAUGGGAGGAACAGGAGAAGGGAAGGAGAAGUUGUGCCACAUCCAUCCCGUCCACUGCAUCAUGCGCGGCGACCGGUUGGGUUCUGGGUCGGGAACUAGGAUUGGUGAUUUGAGUGGCUAAUUUCGAGAGUGGUGUCGACAGCGAGAGGCGUCUAUGAUAAUGGAGGCAGCGACAAGCACAAAUAUGCUGUAGCUUUGAGGGGUGUAGAAGCUAGAGAGAACUGAUUAUGUGAGGAUACA